rnacentral:rRNA from 1 species
CCUACGGGUGGCAGCAGUGGGGAAUAUUGCACAAUGGGGGGAACCCUGAUGCAGCGACGCCGCGUGAGUGAAGAAGUCAUUCGUGAUGUAAAGCUCUAUCAGCAGGGAAGAAAAUGACGGUACCUGACUAAGAAGCCCCGGCUAACUACGUGCCAGCAGCCGCGGUAAUACGUAGGGGGCAAGCGUUAUCCGGAUUUACUGGGUGUAAAGGGAGCGUAGACGGCAGCGCAAGUCCGAAGUGAAAGCCCGGGGCCCAACCCCGGGACUGCUUUGGAAACUGUGAAGCUGGAGUGCGGGAGGGGCAGGCGGAAUUCCUGGUGUAGCGGUGAAAUGCGUAGAUAUCAGGAGGAACACCGGCGGCGAAGGCGGCCUGCUGGACCGUAACUGACGUUGAGGCUCGAAAGCGUGGGGAGCAAACAGGAUUAGAUACCCCAGUAGUC